ensembl:misc_RNA 7SK 7SK RNA
GGAUGUGAGGGUGAUCUGGCUGCAACAUCUGUCACCCACUGAUCAGCCAGUGUCCCCUUCCUCCCUCACUGCUCCAUGUGCCUCCCUCUCGAAGUUGCGUGCUCAGUAGAAGAGGACGACCUUCCCCAAAUAGAGGACUGGUCUUCGGUCAAGGGGAUACGAGUAGCUGCGCUCCCGUGCUAGAACCUCCAAACAAGCUCUCACAAUUUUAGUGAGUUAAUGAGAAAAGUUAUUCACAGUAUUAAAGAUAG